GGACAGGUAGCUGGCACCAGUAAUCCAGAGUGUGACAAGGAGAAGUCCUGAGAGCUUACUGCCACCAAUACAGUACUUCAAGAACCACAAACUUUGAAAAUCAAGACCUGGACAAAAACUUGCAUUUGAAUACCCAUCCUUACCUAAAUUCAUCCGCUCACUAUAGAGAUGUUCCAAUGAUCGACAUUCAUCAUCUGUACCAAGCGUUUCUUUAAAGAGAAUAUUUUCUGCAUCUGAUUCAGAGAAUGAGAGAGCCGUACCCUGUGUAACUUUAGCCAAAUUGGUAAUGUCGCCGUAUCGAUCACUCUCCUGUGAUCCUCCUUCAGCCAUAUCAUGCAAUUAAAAACAACUGAACAUAGAGAUGACGGAAAAAUACUACGGAUGGCUAUGUCAUUAUGCAUGGACGUCAGUCUUCUGGUUCCAGCUGCUGCCAGCACAGGGGGAUGUACGGG